rnacentral:rRNA from 1 species
AUUGAACGCUGGCGGCAGGCCUAACACAUGCAAGUCGAACGGCAGCACAGAAGAGCUUGCUCUUUGGGUGGCGAGUGGCGGACGGGUGAGUAAUGUCUGGGAAACUGCCCGAUGGAGGGGGAUAACUACUGGAAACGGUAGCUAAUACCGCGUAACGUCGCAAGACCAAAGUGGGGGACCUUCGCGCCUCACACAAUCGGAUGUGCCCGGAUGGGAUUAGCUAGUAGGUGGGGUAAUGGCUCACCUAGGCGACGAUCCCUAGCUGGUCUGAGAGGAUGACCAGCCACACUGGAACUGAGACACGGUCCAGACUCCUACGGGAGGCAGCAGUGGGGAAUAUUGCACAAUGGGCGCAAGCCUGAUGCAGCCAUGCCGCGUGUAUGAAGAAGGCCUUCGGGUUGUAAAGUACUUUCAGCGGGGAGGAAGGCGGUGAGGUUAAUAACCUUGCCGAUUGACGUUACCCGCAGAAGAAGCACCGGCUAACUCCGUGCCAGCAGCCGCCGUAA